rnacentral:lncRNA from 1 species
AUGGGAUUUAAGGCCCUUCCACCCAAACCACAGCAUGACUCCACGAUAUGGAAUGUGGCGUGCAUUUUCUCUCGCCUGUGCAUGCUAAACCUGAAUUUUAGCACCGACAGAGGCUCCUGCACCUCUCACCCCUCCCUGACCUCGAUCCCAGCAGAGCCUGGAUCCCCAAAAUUGCCAGAACAGGGAGAAGAUAAAAACGGGGAGCUGCCCUUUGCCCAGCUGUCCCCUCCCGUGUCCUUGUCCCCGGUGACCCCAGAGCCUCCCCCUUCCCAUCCCCGUGCCCGGGACUCCUCUCCUCCCUCCGCAGCUCCUCCCGCAGCCGCGAUUUGCAGCUCCAGACGCAUCCUGCGGCCACACGCAGAGCCAAUAAUCACUGUGAGUGUGCCACCAGCCUGGCUGGCUCCGGGCACGGGCGGUGGCACCGCUGUCACCCCCCCGGGGCCGGGCUGGCCCUGUCCCACCCCCGGCAAGGCUCUGGGGCCGCGGGGAUUGGGGAGCAGCGGGGCUCGGGGUGCAGCGGGGAUUGGGGAGCAGCGGGGCUCGGGGUGCAGCGGGGAUUGGGGAGCAGCGGGGCCCCGGCAGCCCCACACGGGCUGGAACGUGACUGCGCAGGGUGGGUGGGAUGGGAGCGGCACGACCCGGAGCCGGCAGAGCGUGGGCAGCAUCCCGGGGAUGAUUAAUGCGGGGGGAGGCGGAGAGAGCCCCAGCCCGAGGGAGGGAUGGCAGAGACAGCGACAGCGACAGCGAGGACCCGCCCGCAGUCACGGCCAGAGCUCCCCCCCUCGGGAGAUGACAAAUCGGGCUCGCCACCUGCUCCCACCUCUGCUGACUCACACCAUGGGCUCGGAGAGCCCCCGGCUCUGAAUGACCCCUGAAUGAGGAGCCUCUCAAUUAAAAGUUUCCCAUUGACGCCGCCUCAAUGAGAACGCGCUGGGGAAUUCUCCGCGCCUCAAUGGCCCCGGCCCUCGGCGAGUGUUGAGGGGCCGAUGGACUUCCCACAAUGUUUGUACACCUUCCUUUGUGGGGAUUUUUCCCUCCGCUGAGCCAGAAACCUUUAACACAUCCGCUCCCGGCGUGCCGCUCGUUGGGGACAGCGGGGACAGCGGUG